rnacentral:rRNA from 1 species
AUUGAACGCUGGCGGUAUGCUUUACACAUGCAAGUCGAACGGCAGCAUAGGUGCUUGCACCUGAUGGCGAGUGGCGAACGGGUGAGUAAUGCAUCGGAACGUGCCCAAUCGUGGGGGAUAACGCAGCGAAAGCUGUGCUAAUACCGCAUACGAUCUACGGAUGAAAGCGGGGGACCUUCGGGCCUCGCGCGAUUGGAGCGGCCGAUGUUAGAUUAGGUAGUUGGUGGGGUAAAGGCUCACCAAGC